rnacentral:ncRNA from 1 species
GGGGUAGGAUUCAAGGCGUUAAGUGCUGAUGGAACGGAAUGUGAACAUCGGACGAAGAGAUUAAUCUCGCGAUCUUGUUUCCGCAUUCGCC